rnacentral:rRNA from 1 species
GUGCCAGCCGCCGCGGUAAUACGAAGGGGGCUAGCGUUGUUCGGAAUUACUGGGCGUAAAGCGCACGCAGGCGGUCUACAUAGUCAGGAGUGAAAGCCCUGGGCUCAACCCGGGAAUUGCUCUUGAUACUGGUAGGCUUGAAUCACGGAGAGGGUAGGGGAAUUCCGAGUGUAGAGGUGAAAUUCGUAGAUAUUCGGAAGAACACCAGUGGCGAAGGCGCCUACCUGGCCGUUGAUUGACGCUCAUGUGCGAAAGCGUGGGGAGCAAACAGG